rnacentral:lncRNA from 1 species
UUCAGUCAGGGUUCUGGAGCCAGGUGCAUGAGUUUUGAGCCAUUCACUCGCAACAACAUCAUUACCUAAGGCAUCCUUGGCAAUGGUACCACCACUACCACCUCUUGAGCUGUUGAUUCCAAAUGGAACGAUAAAUAAUGAAUAAUAGUUGGUAACACGAACAAUAUUUGAAUGACAACAGAGCCUAGAGUAUCGGAUAGAUAGAUAGGUAGAUGGAUAGAUAGAUCAAGUUCAUCUAGUGAUACAAAAUCAAUACUGCAAUAGCAUACAAGUAAUUCUUGCUAUAACAGCCUUUCUACCUUUAGCUUAUGUAAGUACCAGAAGAAUUUUAAGGUGUCAAGUUUCCAUGGCAUUACAUUUGUCUAUAAGUCCAUAAUUUAUCCGGUAUGGAACUUAGAAACAACAACAACAACAACAACAGAUCCAGUAUAUUCCCACAAAGUGAGGUCUGGGGAGGGUAAAAUGUACACAGUCCAUACCACUACCUCCGAGGAAGUAGAGAGGCUGUUUCAUGGAACUUAGAAACAGAAACCAUAAUAUUGCAUAAGCAUGAAAAGGCUGUGACUUAGUAAAUGUUUGAUAUCAAUCAGUAGGAUGAAUAACGAAAUUUCCAUGCUAAAGUUUCAGGAAGGUUUUAUUUUUUAGUAUAUAGAAAUAUCAUCCAGAGCAUAAAAUAUGACUAAACUCACAACUUACUGAAUAGAAAGAGCAAAGUGUCAAAAACACACCCAACGUAACCGAGUUUUGUUCACUUUUGCUACCUAAACUAUAGGUGUGUAAGUUUCCUAGAUGAACUAUCGCCAAUGAUUUAUCAAAAAUACACCUCAACUAUUAUUUGUUCACUUUUGCUACCUGAAAUAUCACCAUCAUUCGGUAGUAAAAUUGAUAGUAAAGGUGUGUUUAGAUAAAUAGUUAAUGAUAAUUCAGGUAGAAAAUUCUCACACCUGAUAAUUCAGGUAUGAAACUCAAAAAACCUGGAUGCAUUAGGUGUAUUUUUGAUCACUAACUCAAAUAAAAAGUAACAUGUGGGCCUACAAUGUUAACUGAUUGUUUUCUGAAAUUUACUAUGCUGAUUGAUUGUUAGCAUAUUGAACUUAACUGGCACUGCAAUUCCAAAACCACAUAAAAACAAAUGCCAACAAUUUGAGAAAGAAAAACUUAUCAAAAAGUUCAAUAGAUUACACUAGCAAGCCAUGAAAUAGGAGUUAGACAGAAUAUAGAAUAGCAACAUACUAACAACUUAACAAGAACCAAUUCCCAAAGAAAAAGCGGAAUAAAUUGGAUUGGAAAGUAAUAUUAAUCCUAGUCCCUAAUGUAAGAUUCUAUCCUAGAAAGUCAUCUCUUAUUUCUCAUAAAAGUGAUUCAAUUGAUACGAUUUGGUAUGAGAUCGAUAAUCUUGAUGUGCUUCAUAUUCAAAUGUUUCUUCCUAGAAUUAUUAAUUUAACAUGUUAUACAAAGCUACUAUGUACACUUAUUAUAGGCGGCUACUUGAUAUUUAUCAUUUAAGUUACUCCAUAGUAUAAAACUACGUACUCCUUUCGUUCCACUUUAUGUGACAUAUUUCAGAGUUCAGCAGUCAAUUUCCAUAAUUUUUGGUGUGGAUCUGUAUCUUCAAGUUCUUACAACUAAAAUUUACUUAGAAAUGUACAUAAAAAGCAACAUAAGUCAUGAUAGUUCACGAUUCAAAAUACCUGAAAAAGUACUUUGAAUAAUCAUGGUUAGGGAAAUAAUAACUACAACAACAACAUAUGCAGUAUAUUUCCACAAAGUGGGAUCUGAGGAGGAUAAAGUAUACACAUUCGUACCACUAACUCAAAAGUGAGGUAGAGAGGCGGUACCCAAAAGACCCUCAGCUCAAGACAAAAAUAUUCUAGAGAAUUGAAAACAUAAUAUAAGAACAAGAAACAAUAGGUAGAAAUAAACAACAUAUAAAAACGAAAAAAUAAGUCUACCACAAAAUAGUACCUCACUCGACCUCUCUGAAACAACAAACAUCACCAAAACAUCAAUAUAAAGACAUUACACACAAAGCACUACGACAACUAGCACGGAUAACAAGACAAAGCAUACCUACUACCUACUGGCAGAUACAAACUCUUACCUACUACCCAUAUACCUUAAUUAGCAUCCUACACGCCUUCCUAUCUAGGAAAAUAACUACAUGUGUAUAAAAGUCAAUUUCAAUUAAAAAGGAAAAAGAACUAACCCAGGAGGUGCAAAGAAAGCAGCAUAAGGUACAAGCAUUCCACCAGUAGGGAGAGCAAUUGCACCCAAUAGAAGCAAAUUCAUGAGGUUCCUCUUUUCCAUAUCAGGCACUCUGUCAUCUGCUGGAAUGCUAGUGGCCAUACAUUUCACUUUCAUUCUCUUCUCCUUUCCUAAUCCAUGUCCAUUAACUUUCAUCGGCUUCAUGAGCAACGCUUGUGAAACCGAUGAAAGACCACUUUUGCUGG